UUUUUAAUCUUUCCCUCUCCCAAAUAAACACAGUGGUCUGCCGUCCCCCAAGGCUCGGGCGAUACGCGGGUGGCUAGGCACGGAACUAGUGCCUUCCCCUUUCUGGGUGCUGGGGGAUGGGGUAGAGAGAGGAAGGCUCUCUGGGAUUUAAAGUCUUGCCCUGAUUGGAAUGGGUGGAUGUUGAGCAGCGCGAUCUCCAAAGCGGUGCCAAACUUUAAACUACAAGCUAUAAAUUCACUGUUCAAUAACCUGUUAUAAAAGUUUCGAGGUUCAUUUGCCUAACCACAAGAAUACUGACUAGGAGACCUUUUGCUUUAUCACCGUGACCAAACUCAGCACAGGAUCUCUAUCAGGUGGUGAUCAUGGAAACAAUGAUUUCAUUAAAGAAAAUGAUAAUAUUGAGACAACAUAUUAAAACCUAUGGGAA